ensembl:lncRNA
CCGGAAAUAAAGAGAAGCAGUGUGAAAGGCUGCCACACACUUCAGCAGCAAGAAGUUCAAAACACUGUGCUUUGGCAGCUGCACAAACCCACAACGAGGAACACGCAGUUGCACAGCAGUGCUUCAGCACAGAACUGUGAUGCUACUGUCGAGGCCUAAGAAGCAGAAGCAGAUGUAAUCCCAGCACUGUUCCUGCCCAGCACCUGCAACGAUCAGUUUGAGGCUUCACCAACAAGAAAUACAAUGAGGAUCAUCUACAAAAGUUGAAGUAAGAGUGAUGCAGAAAAACACAGCGCACCAUGUAAUCCCUGAACUUCCUGGUACUGCUGGUAGCAAAGACCUAACAAGUGGUAUUAAAACCAAUUGGCCUGCACUGCCAUGACACUAACUGACCUGAUCAGCUCCAGCUCCCACCACGAGGCCUCAGGGCGUUCUGGAGCCACCAGCACGCAUCCAGCAGCCAACCAUGCUUCAUCCACCAAUGGAGAGCAACAAUGAAGAAACAAAGAAGCCCAAAGCUCUUGCAGGGCUGUCAAGCUGAGCACCAGCACUCACUCCUGCUUAAGACAUUGCGAGAAAUGCAGAGUGCCAGACAGAGCAAGGACUAAGAAAAAGCCAGCACAGCUUUAAAGCCAACACAGAGUACUAGCAUUUUAAAAACCUGACAGUGCUUUUAUGGCCUAUAAGUCCAUUUUGUUUUAUUUUCCUUCAUCCUAUUUGUGACAGACUCAUGUACUCCUACUAAAAAUUCUUUUCAACUCCAACGUUUUCCCUCUGCAGUAAAAUCUUG